ACCUCGUGUACCAGUGUACCCUGGGGCCCAACCCAGCAUGUGGAUUGGGGUACGGGGUACACCUCGUGUACCAGUGUACCCUGCGCCCAGCCCAGCAUGUGGCUCACGGUAGGUGCUCAGUGAUGUUUUAAUUGAAGGACUCCACGAAUGGAUGGAUGAACGAGUGAGCGAGUGACUGCCCCCACAGCAACCUCACGCUGGGCCCCUUGACUGUGACACGGGCGGGCGGCCCUGGGCACGAGGCCCCGCCCGCCCCACACAUGCCCAUAUAUGGACGUGAGGCAGGCACUCAGGCCCUUGUCUGUGAGGUCUCAGGCCUCUCUGACCUCACAGUGCCCAGGGGGGCCCCCGUGUCUAUAAGAGGCCCAGGCCUGGGCCCCUGGCUCACAGCCCACCAAGAUCCACCUGCUCACAGGUUGGCUGGCUCAACCAGGGUUGUGCCCCGAGCUCUGAGCCAAGUCUCGGCCAAGUCCAUCCGGCACCAUGGUCAGAUACAGAUGCUGCCGCAGCCAGAGCCGGAGCAGAUGCCGCCGCCGGAGACGGAGAUGCCGCAGACGCAGGAGGCGGUGCUGCCAGAGGCGAAGAGUCAGGAAGUGCUGUCGCCGCACAUACACCCUCAGGUGUAGACGAUACUAAACGCACAGAACAGCAGACCCACCAGACUCCUGCCUGAGAAUUCUACCAGACUUCAAGACCCUCUCGUCACACGCCAUCUUCAAGACUUCAAGACCCGCUCUUGACAAUGCCAUCGUCCCAUGACACACAGGAGCCUGCUAAGGAACAAUGCCGCCUGUCAAUAAAUGUUGAGAUCAUCCCAA